UUCAUUAAAUACCAAUAAUUUGUAUAUAUUAUCGCAUAGGUUCACUUUGGAUCGUUGGAUCACAUCCAAAUUCACUUUGGACCAUCACCGUGGAGUCAUGAUUUGUUUCCUUUUUUUUUUUUUUUUUUUUUUAUCUCUACUAAAUUUUUAAAAAAUCAAAAGGCCACCCAUCCGAAAAGCCCUUUGCUGAAGACCCGCUUCUCUCACUCGGGCAUCAAAAAGCCCUUGGCUGAAGCUGCCCUCCGGACGAGAGAAUCGGCCCCAAUUUCCUCUUUCACUCUCAAUCCUCGCAGCCAUGUUUCGGUGAUUUUUUCGUCGAUUUUAACAGAAGUUUGGCGAAAUUUCUCCCGUCGACAUUUCGCCCCCCUCUUUCGUAUCGCCGGCCACCGAAACCCGAAAUUCCGGCGAAAUUUCCGCGAAAAAAAUGGAAACUUUCAUCCUUGCGCUCGAGAUGAUAUGAGUGAAACAGAUAGUAAAACAGGACCUGGCGGCUGCUUGUGAUGGUGAUGGUGAUGUAUGAGCAGAACCAUAUGCUGAGGCCAAGGACUAAGGCCAAGAGAGUAUGCAAGUUGUUGAAUGCAUGGUCAAUUAUCGAGUAAAAAGUCACUCUCAUGAUGAUCCCAUAUGCAUUUUCUAGGAGCUAUCUGCUGUGACC